GCCAGUGUGAUGUAGUGGUUUCAGCAUUAGACUACGACUCUGGAGAUCAGGGUUUGAUUCCCCAUUUGGGCA